rnacentral:rRNA from 3 species
AAAUUGAAGAGUUUGAUCAUGGCUCAGAUUGAACGCUGGCGGCAGGCCUAACACAUGCAAGUCGAGCGGAAACGAGUUAUCUGAAC